GACGAACGCUGGCGGCGUGCUUAACACAUGCAAGUCGAACGGAAAGGCCUGCUUUCCCUUGUGGAUUGCGGGUACUCGAGUGGCGAACGGGUGAGUAACACGUGAGUGAUCUGCCCCCAACUUGGGUAUAAGCCUGGGAAACUGGGUCUAAUUCCCGAUAGGACUGCAGGGUGGUGCCUGUGGUGGAAAACGAUUUUCUAGUGGUUGGGGAUGAGCUCGCGGCCUAUCAGCUUGUUGGUGGGGUAAUGGCCUACCAAGGCGGCGACGGGUAGCCGGCCUGAGAGGGUGGACGGCCACAUUGGGACUGAGAUACGGCCCAGACUCCUACGGGAGGCAGCAGUGGGGAAUAUUGCACAAUGGGCGGAAGCCUGAUGCAGCGACGCCGCGGGGGGGAUGACGGCCUUCGGGUUGUAAACUCCUUUCGACCGCGAGGAAGCCACCUGGUUGGAAGGGUGGUGACGGUAGUGGGAGAAGAAGCACCGGCUAACUACGUG
rnacentral:rRNA from 1 species